rnacentral:rRNA from 1 species
UUAAGAUACUAAGAGCAUACGGUGGAUGCCUUGGCGAUAUCUGCCGACGAAGGACGUGACAAGCUGCGAAAAGCUGCGGAGAGAUGCAAAUAAUCGGUGACCCGCAGAUAUCCGAAUGGAGCAAUCCGGCUGUGAUGAUGCACAGCCAUCCAUGCCCAAGAGCAUGAGAAGGGAACCGGGCGAACUGAAACAUCUAAGUAACCCGAGGAAAAGAAAUCAAACGAGAUACCCCAAGUAGCGGCGAGCGAACAGGGAAGAAGCCCAAACCGGUGAAGGAAACUUUGCCGGGGUUGAGGACCAUCAGACCCGCGAAGAACUUUAGCCGAAACUGUUGGGAAACAGUGCCAAAGACAGUGAAAGCCUGGUAGGCGAAAAAGAGAAACGCGGAGAUGGUACCAGAGUACCGCGGGACACGAGAAAUCCCGUGGGAAGCAGGGGGGACCACCCUCCAAGGCAAAACACAGAUAUCGACCGAUAGCGCAUAGUACCAUGAGGGAAAGGUGAAAAGCACCCCGGGAGGGGAAUGAAAGAGAACCUGAAACCGUAUGUUUACAAGCAGUCGGAGACCGCUUAAUAAUAAGGUCGACGGCGUGCCUAUUGAAGAAUGAACCGGCGAGUUACGAAGCCUGGCAAGGUUAAGCAGGAAAUGCGGAGCCGAAGCGAAAGCGAGUCUUAAGAGGGCGCAAGUCAGGAAGCGUAGACCCGAAACCACAGUGAUCUACCCAUGUCCAGGUUGAAACACAGGUAAAAAUGUGUGGAGGACCGAACCUAUAUCCGUUGAAAAGGGUUAGGAUGAGGUGUGGGUAGGGGUGAAAUUCCAAUCGAACGUGGAGAUAGCUGGUUCUCCCCGAAAUAGCUUUAGGGCUAGCCUCAGGGAAAAGAUUGCAGGCGGUAGAGCACUGAUCAGGAGAGGGACCUACCCGGUUACCAAACCCAGUCAAACUCCGAAUGGCUGCAAUCAUACCUGGGAGUCAGACUGCGACUAAUAAGGGCCGCAGUCAAAAGGGAAACAGCCCAGACCAUCAGCUAAGGUCCCCAAUGCCGUGCUAAGUGGCGAAGGAUGUGGCAUUUCAUAAACAACCAGGAUGUUGGCUCAGAAGCAGCCACCAUUUAAAGAGUGCGUAAUAGCUCACUGGUCGAGAGACGCUGCGCCGAAAAUGUCCGGGGCUCAAGCACGGAACCGAAGCUAUGGCAUGAUAGCAAUAUCAUGGGUAGGGGAGCGUUCUUAUAAGGAAGAAGCAUGACCGGAAGGACAUGUGGACGAAUAAGAAGUGAGAAUGCCGGUAUGAGUAUCGAAAAGAAAGGUGAGAAUCCUUUCCACCGAAAGCCCGAGGGUUCCUGAGCAACGAUCGUCGACUCAGGGUAAGUCGGGACCUAAGCCGAGGCGAGAAGCGUAGGCGAUGGACAACAGGUUGAAAUUCCUGUACCGGAUCAAGUCGAUCGAGCGAAGGAGCGACGCAGGAGGGCACAUGAUCGCGCGGCUGGAAGAGCGCGUCCAAGUGCGUAUGUUGCAGCAGAGGAAAACCCCUGCAGCUAAAAGCAGAGACAUGAUGGGGAGUUAAAGGAAACUUUGACGAACUCAUGAAUCCCACACUGCCAAGAAAAACUUCUAGCGAGACAAGAUCCGCCCGUACCGUAAACCGACACAGGUAGGCGGGGAGAGAAUCCUAAGGUGCGCGGGAAAACCCUCGUUAAGGAACUCGGCAAAUUGCAUCCGUAACCUAGGGAGAAGGAUGGCCCCCGGUCAGUGAAGAGCAGAAACGCUCAGAGCUAAAAGGGGCGGCAGAAAAGAGGCCCAAGCAACUGUUUACCAAAAACACAGGUGCCUGCGAAAGCGAAAGCUGAAGUAUAGGUGCUGACGCCUGCCCGGUGCCGGAAGGUUAAGGAGAGAAGUUAGCGAAAGCGAAGCAUCGAACUGAAGCCCCGGUGAACGGCGGCCGUAACUAUAACGGUCCUAAGGUAGCGAAAUUCCUUGUCGGGUAAGUUCCGACCCGCAUGAAAGGCGUAAUGAUUUGGGCACUGUCUCAACGAGGGGCCCGGUGAAAUUGAAAUACCUGUGAAGAUGCAGGUUACCCGCGACUGGACAGAAAGACCCCAUGGAGCUUCACUGCAGCUUGAGAUUGAAUCCCGGUGACAGAUGCACAGGAUAGGUGGGAGGCGCCGAAGCAUUGCCCUAGGGCGGUGCGGAGCCGAUGUUGGGAUACCACCCUUCUGUUGCUGAGAUUCUAACGCGAGGAGUAACGACCCUGCGGACCCUCUCAGGCAGGCGGUUUGACUGGGGCGGUCGCCUCCGAAAGAGUAACGGAGGCG